rnacentral:rRNA from 1 species
UACAGAGGUCUCAAGCGUUGUUCGGAUUCAUUGGGCGUAAAGGGUGCGUAGGCGGCGCGGUAAGUCGGAUGUGAAAUCUCGGAGCUUAACUUCGAAACUGCAUUCGAUACUGCCGUGCUUGAGGACUGGAGAGGAGACUGGAAUUUACGGUGUAGCGGUGAAAUGCGUAGAUAUCGUAAGGAAGACCAGUGGCGAAGGCAGCUCUCUGGGACGGUACUGACACUGGAGACGCGAAAGCGUUGGGGAGACCGAACAGG